GAGGAAGAUGAAGAAGAAGAAGAAAGAGGAAGCAGAGGAGGGUGAAACCGCCGACCCGAGCCUCCAGUAUCGGGAGGAUCCCAACAUGGCGACAGGGUGGGAACCUGGUGUCGACGCUGGUUCGUCCAGGUGAGGGAUCUACUCACCAGGUGAAACCAGCGUGUGUUCGCUCCGCUCACUGGUUCCCAGCAGCCGGUGGACGUGGAGCCGAGAGUUCGAGUCACAGACACUUUGUCACCGACAAGUUUUCACCUCGUCAGUUCCUGGUCCGGACACUUCCUGGUUCUCUCAGCUCACUUCCUGACUUCAGUUCUCUGACCAAACGGUUCCACCUCCAGUGUUUGUCAGUAAUCAUCAUGCACUGGUUCACCUGCUCCACCAGCAGCCGGACUGGGACUGGGAUUGUGGUGUGACUGGUUCAACCGGUUCCCGUUAAGACCCUCGGGCCUCUCUGACAUGAGGAAGCAGUAAAGCUCAUCAAAACAAAAGCUGUUGACUCUUUACAAUUUGUUGUUGUCAGAACGAAACUCAGGUUCAAUCCACUCAAGCUCCAUCGUGUCAUCUGACGGAUUACACUCACAUUUAAUCAUAUUCUUCUGUAAUAGAGACAAAUAGGUGCUUCUAAUAUUGGUUUUCAGCAGUAUUGUUAAAUCUGAAGUUUUAGUUUUGACUAAAAUACCAAAUAUCACUUCACAGGUGAGAAUUAAUUAAUGUUCUUAGUUAAUUUAGGUCAGAUUAACUUAAAUCCUCUUAACCUGCAGCGUCGGCUUCACAACAAAGACACAGAACAAGAACACACAACUAAAUAAUAUUGAGUCUAAACAAUCAGAUCCAUAUUUAAAAUGACAAAAACACUUUGUUAACAUCAGGAAAAAAGUCAAAGUCACUCUUUAAACUUAGUUUCAUCAUUUUUUUUACAGUGUAUAUGAUUAUAUAUAUAUAUAUAUAUAUAUAUAUAUACAUAUUAGCAUCUUCUAUCCUCCUGUACAGUGAAUGAUUGUAUCCUUACAGCGCCCCCUAGUGUCUUAACUAAAAAUGACAUUUGAUGUGAAUGUGAUUGUUUCUUAUUGUGUAUCUUUUCUCAGUAGAACACACUUAUUAAAGCUGACGUUGAUUAUUGGGGGAUGUAUUAAUUAAUUGUCUUUGUCAGUUUGUGGCUGUGGCUCAGGGGGUGGAGCGGAUUGCCAAACAACCAGAAAGUUGCCAAUGGCAUUUUCUUAUAUAUUCUUUGGCAAUUCAAAAAUCAUUUUGUACGUACAGAACAUGGUUUUUAAUAUAUUGUGAUGAUGUUUUGUUUAAUUGUAGAUGAUAAGAAAUAACUGCAAAUGUCAAGAGAGAAAACAGGAGUCAAUGCAAGGACAUUAAAUAUUAAUUUAUUUCACAACAUAUUGCUUUGAUACAGUUAAAGGCCUUUGAAUCACAUCAAACUUCACAUGUUUUAAACUUUCUAAGGCACGUCGGCAAAAUUCAUGAAAAGUUUGGAAAAAAAAUUCUGUUUGAAAAAUAUUUUGAUUGUAUUAUUUAUUUGUUUAUGAAGCAUCUAUGAAUUUACAUCCUAAUAACAUGAAAUAACACAAAAAAAUACAUGUGAUGAAGAUUAAAAUUAUUCUUAUUGAUGAUUGGAGAUCUUGAGAAAUGAACUGGUUCUUUUUAUUUAAACACCUGAAUGGCCUCAGCUCUCACAUCGCUAUAUAAAUAUAUGAUUAUGAAAUAAAAUAGAUUAUAUAAUGAGAAGAUUAAGUUUCUUUCCUCAGAGAUCCAGCCACUGAGGAAUUUGAAUAAGAACAUUUACAUCAAACUUCAAAGAGUAGAGGAGGAACUGAAACUCAUCUUACGUUCGUUAAAUUAGCAGCAAAGUAGAAAAAGAGAAGAAGAAGCAGCUCGAUAGUGUUU